GACGAACGCUGGCGGCGUGCUUAACACAUGCAAGUCGAACGGAAAGGCCCUGCUUGCAGGGUACUCGAUUGGCGAACGGUUGGGUAACACCUUUGUGAUCUGCCCUGCACUUCGGGAUAAGCCUGGGAAACUGGGUCUAAUACCGGAUAUGACCUUCCAUGUAUUGUGGUGGGUGGGAGUUUUUGUCGGUGUGUGAUGAGCUCGCGGCCUAUCAGAUUGUUGGUGGGGUAAUGGUCUACCAAGGCGUGGAGAGGUAGCCGGGCUGAGAGGGGGGGCGGCCACAUUGGGAUUGAGAUAAGGCACGGCCUAGUACGGGAGGGAGGAGUGGAGAAUAUAGUACAAUGGGCGGAAGGAUGAUGCAGCGAAGCAGCGUGGGGGAUGACGGCAUUCGGGUUGUAAACCUCUUCCGACAGGGACGAAGCGUUGGUGACGGUACCUGGAUAAGAAGCACCGGCUAACUCCGUG
rnacentral:rRNA from 1 species